rnacentral:rRNA from 1 species
GCUUACGGCCACACCACCCUGAGCGCGCCCGAUCUCGUCUGAUCUCCGGAAGCUAAGCAGGGUCGGGGCCUGGUUAGUACUUGGAUGGGAGACCGCCUGGGAAUACCAGGUGCCGUAAGCU